AAUUUUCCGCAAUGGGCGCAAGCCUGACGGAGCAACGCCGCGUGCGGGAUGACGCCCUUCGGGGUGUAAACCGCUUUUCGGGGGGACGAAGCAAGUGACGGUACCCCCGGAAGAAGGCCCGGCUAACUACGUGCCAGCAGCCGCGGUAAGACGUAGGGGCCGAGCGUUGUCCGGAGUUACUGGGCGUAAAGGGCGCGCAGGCGGCCGGUCGCAUCGGCGGUGAAAGCCCCCCGCUCAACGGGGGAGGGUCCGUCGAGAUGGAUCGGCUGGAGGCAGGGAGAGGGCGGUGGAAUUCCGGGUGUAGUGGUGAAAUGCGUAGAGAUCCGGAGGAACACCAGUGGCGAAGGCGGCCGCCUGGACCUGACCUGACGCUGAGGCGCGAAGGCGUGGGGAGCGAACGGGAUUAGAUACCCCGGUAGUCCACGCAGUAAACGAUGGGCACGAGGUGUGGCGGGAGUUGACCCCUGCCGUGCCGGCGCUAACGCAGUAA
rnacentral:rRNA from 1 species